rnacentral:rRNA from 1 species
UGCGGUUAUACAAAUAAUGUAAUUUAAUUUUAUUUAUAUUAAUUAAUAAUUUAUUUAUUAAAUUUUAUAUUAAAAUUUAUUAGGUGAAAUUUUAAAUUUUUAAUAAAUUAUAUUUUUUAAUUGAAGUUAGGAAAUUUAAAUUUUAAACUAGGAUUAGAUACCCUAUUAUUUUAAAUGUAAAUUUUUUAUUUAAUUAUUAUUAGUUAUGAUCUUUAAAAUUAAAAAAUUUGGCGGUAUUUUAGUCUUUUUAGAGGAACCUGUUUUUUAAAUGAUAAUCCACGAUUUAAUUGACUUUUAUUAUUAGUUUGUAUAUCGUCGUAAUUAAAUAUUUUUAUAGAAUUAUAAUAUUUAAAAUUUUUUUAAAAAAAUUAAUCAGAUCAAGGUGCAGUUUAUAUAGAAGUUUAAAUGGGUUACAUUAAAUUUAUUUUUGGAUUUAAAAUAUUAUUAUUUUAAUGAAAUUGGAUUUAAUUGUAAUAUUAAUUAAUUAAUUAAUAUGAUUUUGGCUCUAAAAUAUGU